rnacentral:rRNA from 1 species
AUUAGGAAUCUUGCACAAUGGGCGAAAGCCUGAUGCAGCGACGUCGCGUGAGGGAUGAAGUCUUUCGGGACGUAAACCUCUUUUAUCGGGGAAGAAACAAAUGACGGUACCCGGUGAAUAAGCCCCGGCUAACUACGUGCCAGCAGCCGCGGUAAUACGUAGGGGGCCAGCGUUGUCCGAAGUUACUGGGCGUAAAGAGCGCGUAGGCGGGUUUUUAAGUGAGAGGUGAAAGGUUCAGGGCUCAACCCGGACACUGCCUUUCAUACUGGAAGCCUUGAGUAUGGGAGAGGCGAGUGGAAUUCUUGGUGUAGCGGUGAAAUGCGUAGAUAUCAAGAGGAACACCCAUGGCGAAGGCAGCUCGCUGGCCUAUAACUGACGCUGAGGCGCGAAAGCUGGGGGAGCAAACAGG